UACGGGGGGAGCAAGCGUUGUUCGGAUUUACUGGGCGUAAAGGGCGCGUAGGCGGCCACCGCAAGUCGGUUGUGAAAUCUCCGGGCUUAACCCGGAAAGGUCAACCGAUACUGCGGGGCUAGAGUGCAGAAGGGGCAACUGGAAUUCUCGGUGUAGCGGUGAAAUGCGUAGAUAUCUGGAGGAACACCGGUGGCGAAGGCGGCAUCCUGGACCGACAUUGACGCUGAGGCGCGAAAGCCAGGGGAGCAAACGGG
rnacentral:rRNA from 1 species